UUUGGAAGGUCAGUGGUAGAGUGGUCGGCUGUCAACUGACUGGUCGUAGGUUCAAAUCCUAAAUGGGAAG
rnacentral:tRNA from 1 species